rnacentral:tRNA from 1 species
GCCGGGGUGGCGGAAUCGGUAGACGCAGCGGACUCAAAAUCCGCCGCCGCAAGGCGUGAGGGUUCGAGUCCCUCUCCCGGCACCA